rnacentral:rRNA from 1 species
UCUUCGGCAAUGGACGAAAGUCUGACCAAGCAACGCCGCGUGAGCGAAGAAGGCCUUCGGGUCGUAAAGCUCUGUUGUUAGAGAAGAACAUGGGUGAGAGUAACUGUUCACCCCUUGACGGUAUCUAACCAGAAAGCCACGGCUAACUACGUGCCAGCAGCCGCGGUAAUACGUAGGUGGCAAGCGUUGUCCGGAAUUAUUGGGCGUAAAGCGCGCGCAGGCGGUCUCUUAGGUCUGAUGUGAAAGCCCCCGGCUCAACCGGGGAGGGUCAUUGGAAACUGGGAGACUUGAGGACAGAAGAGGAGAGUGGAAUUCCAAGUGUAGCGGUGAAAUGCGUAGAUAUUUGGAGGAACACCAGGGCGAAGGCGGCUCUCUGUCUUUACGACGCGAGGCGCGAAA